rnacentral:tRNA from 1 species
GUGGCUCCAUGGUAGAGCAUCUGCUCGGCAUGCAGAAGGUCCCAGGUUCAAUCCCCAUCAUCUCCA